UUUUACCUGCUCAAUGAUUUUUUAAAUUGCUGUGGUAUUUUGACUAUACAAAGGUAUUGAAAUAAGGUUUUAAUUGAAUGCUAAGAGAAUGGAAUUUCAGAAAAAAGCUUUUUUAAAAUUAAAAAUUGAACUUUUUUUAAUUUGUGCAGAAACAAUUAUUUUAAUUAAGGACAAGAAGACCCUAAGAAUUUAUGAAUUUAAAUAAUAUGUUUCUAUAUUAAUUAAAUUUUAGCUGGGGCGGCUGAGAAAUAUUAAAAACUUUUUAAAUUAAUAGGACCCAUUAUUAAUGAUUAUAUGAAAAAAUACUCUAGGGAUAACAGCGUAAAAAAAU
rnacentral:rRNA from 1 species